UGGGGGAUAUUGCACAAUGGGCGAAAGCCUGAUGCAGCGACGCCGCGUGGGGGAUGAAGGCCUUCGGGUUGUAAACUUCUUUUGCUCUGAACAAGGCAUGCCUUUGGGGUGUGUUGAGUGUAGGGGUUGAUUAGCGCCGGCUAACUACGUGCCAGCAGCCGCGGUAAUACGUAGGGCGCGAGCGUUGUCCGGAAUUAUUGGGCGUAAAGGGCUUGUAGGUGGCUGGUUGCGUCUGUCGUGAAAGCUCAUGGCUUAACUGUGGGUUUGCGGUGGGUACUGGCUGGCUUGAGUGCAGUAGGGGAGGCUGGAAUUCCUGGUGUAGCGGUGGAAUGCGCAGAUAUCAGGAGGAAUACCGGUGGCGAAGGCGGGUCUCUGGGCUGUUACUGACGCUGAGGAGCGAAAGCGUGGGGAGCGAACAGG
rnacentral:rRNA from 1 species